GGCAACAGUGGGGAGGGCAGCCAGUUUGGUCAGUGUGCUUUGGUGGAGUGAGACUUAAGAGAAUCAGGGUCCUGUGAGUGUCCAGCAGAGGUUGUGAAUUUAUGUGUAAGAUGGGCUCACCCCAAACCUCACUUAUGUGUUUUGUCAGAGAGUAAGAGGCUAAUAUAGGGAAAGCAGAGAGCCACAGGCCUGUUUGGAGGUGUGAACCAGUGCUUUGCUGGUGUGAUGGUCUAGAGCGGUGCACAGGAUGGGAGGCAGGAAGCAGCUUCUUCCUGCUCGGCCCACUCCCUGCAGAGCCGAGGUCGAGCUUACCAACCCCGUUAGCUGACAUCACCUUUCUAACUUAACUUUGUUGCCACUUGAUAUGGAGCACCGGGUUGAUCCAACUUCAGAUCACUCUCUGACAUCAUCUCAGUGGAGCCAGUAACUGCAGCCUCUGCUCCAUCAGCUAAGCUUUUAAAGGGAGGGGCCUAAGUGCCACUUCACCCUACUUUGGGGAACCCAUCAUGACUGGGGAAGGGCGGAAGAGGAGACUCAGGAAGCUGCUGAGGGUGCUGGGGAGGCUGCCCCCCUGCAGGCCCUUGUCAGGCUUUCUGACUUGAAAGGGGCAUUGAUAUCUUUGGCCAUGCGCCAUAGCUAAGAAAGUGCCCUUCCCAACCUAAUAGAGGCCUGCUUUUGGUGAAGACCUUACCCUGUGUGGUAAUCUGAGCAGACAUGUUGGGGACUAGGAGGCUGUAGCCAACUUCCCCAUUUAUCCCUGCAGGAUCUACCUCACAGUGACCCAAGAAGUCCAUCUUGCCCCUUCUUGAGCCCUAGUCCAAUGAAAGGAAUAGUUGACUUGUUGUUUAAGAAGGAGAUGUUGCCUGUAUGCGUAAAAGAGCUCUCUGUUUCAGGCUCAUGUACAGUCAGGAAUGGUUCCUUCUCAUCCAACUGCCCAUGCGCCAAUGAUGCUUAUGACGACACAGCCACCCGGCGGUCCCCAGGCCGCCCUCGCUCAAAGUGCACUACAGCCCAUUCCAGUCUCGACAACAGCGCAUUUCCCCUAUAUGACGCACCCUUCAGGUGAGGCGUGUGUGUGCAGGGGCCGCCGGGGCACCCCGAGUUCUGCUCGCAGAGGUAGAAUGGCAG
rnacentral:lncRNA from 1 species